GGCAGUUUGGUUUAACGGUAAAACACUUGACAUAUAAUCACAGAGAUGUGAGUUCCAGUCUCAUGGCUGGCC
rfam:Octopus bimaculoides Scaffold167594_contig_6, whole genome shotgun sequence.